CUUUUUUUGAGAAUAAAGUCACGCCGUACCUUGAAAACGAUACAUUCCGGCUGGGGUCGAAGUUACGCAACUUGGCGUUUGAGAUAGCGGGAAAGACGAAAGAAAAAUGACGGAAGGGCAGUAGAUUAGAUGUAAACAAAAAAGAUUGCG
ensembl:ncRNA F52B10.18 ncRNA